UAAGCGCUACAGCUCUGGGCCUCUUUGAACAGCUCUCUUCCAAAAUUAACUCGGUUGUAGCCCUGCAUGAAUAAUAGCUUUGCAGCAACAGUUUAGAGAAAUAUAUUGUUAAUAAUUGCCAUCUUGCUGAGCAAAAUGCUGGAGCAAAUUUUACAUAACAGUACAAGACAAAAUAGAAAGGUGAGUUUGUGAAGCUCUGAAAUACACAGUUUGCAGUUCACUUUUGUUUCUAAGACUCCUCUCGUAAUGAUUUUGGAGGACACAAACAGAAACAGUAAAGUUCCUGCUGACAUUCUUAUAAGACAUGUGGACAAACUGGAGGAAUUAAUGAUCAAGAUGCCUUUUGCUAAAAACAAGAUGAACAUCCGUCACUCUGUAGUCAGGACUGAGACCUGAGCUUCUGCCCCUAAGUGAUGCCAGUGCUGAUGGGUUCUGCGCGUGUUACCUAAGAAAAUGUUACCUACACAGGGUUCUUCUAUGAACCUGGAAGAUGAAGAUGUUCUCAUAUCUUUUCUUCUAUAUGCCAUAAAGAUUUAACUUAUUUCACAUUUUCUCUUAACAUUGUGAAUUAUAUCAAUUUUUUUUUCUAAGGUUAAACUGAGAUGACCACAAUCAUUCAAUCUAUAUUC
ensembl:lncRNA novel transcript